UACGAAGGGGGCUAGCGUUGUUCGGAAUCACUGGGCGUAAAGGGCGCGUAGGCGGCCGAUCAAGUCGGGGGUGAAAGCCUGUGGCUUAACCACAGAAUGUCCUUCGAUACUGUUUGGCUUGAGACCGGAAGAGGUUAGUGGAACUGCGAGUGUAGAGGUGAAAUUCGUAGAUAUUCGCAAGAACACCAGUGGCGAAGGCGGCUAACUGGUCCGGUUCUGACGCUGAGGCGCGAAAGCGUGGGGAGCAAACAGG
rnacentral:rRNA from 1 species